GACGAACGCUGGCGGCGUGCUUAACACAUGCAAGUCGAACGAUGAACCCGGAGCUUGCUCCGGUGGAUUAGUGGCGAACGGGUGAGUAACACGUGAGUAACCUGCCCUUGACUCUGGGAUAACUGCGGGAAACUGUAGCUAAUACCGGAUACGACCCUCGGCGGCAUCGCCAGGGGGUGGAAAGAAUUUCGGUCAAGGAUGGACUCGCGGCCUAUCAGCUAGUUGGUGAGGUAACGGCUCACCAAGGCGACGACGGGUAGGCGGCCUGAGAGGGUGACCGGCCCCACUGGGACUGAGACACGGCCCAGACUCCUACGGGAGGCAGCAGUAGGGAAUCUUCCGCAAUGGACGAAAGCCUGGCGCAGCGACGCCGCGUGAGGGAUGAAGGUCUUCGGAUCGUAAACCUCUUUCAGUAGGGACGAAGCGAAAGUGACGGUACCUAAAGAAGAAGCACCGGCUAACUACGUGCCAGCCGCCGCGGUAA
rnacentral:rRNA from 1 species